rnacentral:rRNA from 1 species
GACGAACGCUGGCGGCGUGCUUAACACAUGCAAGUCGAACGGAAAGGCCCUGCUUGCAGGGUGCUCGAGUGGCGAACGGGUGAGUAACACGUGGGUGAUCUGCCCCUUACUUUGGGAUAAGCCUGGGAAACUGGGUCUAAUGCUGGAUAGGACCAUGCUGUAGGUGGUGUGGUGGAAAGAUUAGUUUCGGUAAGGGAUGAGCUCGCGGCCUAUCAGCUUGUUGGUGGGGUAAUGGCCUACCAAGGCGUCGACGGGUAGCCGGCCUGAGAGGGUGGACGGCCACAUUGGGACUGAGAUACGGCCCAGACUCCUACGGGAGGCAGCAGUGGGGAAUAUUGCACAAUGGGCGCAAGCCUGAUGCAGCGACGCCGCGUGGGGGAUGACGGCCUUCGGGUUGUAAACUCCUUUCGGCCAUGACGAAGCCCUUGUGGUGACGGUAGUGGUAGAAGAAGCACCGGCUAACUACGUG